GACGAACGCUGGCGGCGUGCCUAAUACAUGCAAGUUGAGCGAUGAAGAUUGGUGCUUGCACCAAUUUGAAGAGCAGCGAACGGGUGAGUAACGCGUGGGGAAUCUGCCUUUGAGCGGGGGACAACAUUUGGAAACGAAUGCUAAUACCGCAUAAUAACUUUAAACAUAAGUUUUAAGUUUGAAAGAUGCAAUUGCAUCACUCAAAGAUGAUCCCGCGUUGUAUUAGCUAGUUGGUGAGGUAAAGGCUCACCAAGGCGAUGAUACAUAGCCGACCUGAGAGGGUGAUCGGCCACAUUGGGACUGAGACACGGCCCAAACUCCUACGGGAGGCAGCAGUAGGGAAUCUUCGGCAAUGGACGAAAGUCUGACCGAGCAACGCCGCGUGAGUGAAGAAGGUCUUCGGAUCGUAAAACUCUGUUGGUAGAGAAGAACGUUGGUGAGAGUGGAAAGCUCAUCAAGUGACGGUAACUACCCAGAAAGGGACGGCUAACUACGUG
rnacentral:rRNA from 1 species